AGUGAACGCUGGCGGUAGGCCUAACACAUGCAAGUCGAACGGCAGCACAGUAAGAGCUUGCUCUUACGGGUGGCGAGUGGCGGACGGGUGAGGAAUACAUCGGAAUCUACUUUUUCGUGGGGGAUAACGUAGGGAAACUUACGCUAAUACCGCAUACGACCUACGGGUGAAAGCAGGGGAUCUUCGGACCUUGCGCGACUGAAUGAGCCGAUGUCGGAUUAGCUAGUUGGCGGGGUAAAGGCCCACCAAGGCGACGAUCCGUAGCUGGUCUGAGAGGAUGAUCAGCCACACUGGAACUGAGACACGGUCCAGACUCCUACGGGAGGCAGCAGUGGGGAAUAUUGGACAAUGGGCGCAAGCCUGAUCCAGCCAUACCGCGUGGGUGAAGAAGGUCUUCGGGUUGUAAAGCCCUUUUGUUGGGAAAGAAAAGCAGCAGGUUAAUACCCCGCUGUUCUGACGGUACCCAAAGAAUAAGCACCGGCUAACUUCGUG
rnacentral:rRNA from 1 species